rnacentral:rRNA from 1 species
AUUGAACGCUGGCGGCAGGCCUAACACAUGCAAGUCGAGCGAGCGGCGGACGGGUGAGUAAUGUCUGGGAAACUGCCUGAUGGAGGGGGAUAACUACUGGAAACGGUAGCUAAUACCGCAUACCAUCAGAUGUGCCCAGAUGGGAUUAGCUAGUUGGUGGGGUAACGGCUCACCUAGGCGACGAUCCCUAGAUGGUAUGAGAGGAUGACCAGCGAAACUGGAACGGAGACACGGUCCAGACUCCUACGGGAGGCAGCAGUGGGGAAUAGUGCACAAUGGGCGCAAGCCUGAUGCAGCCAUGCCGCGUGUGUGAAGAAGGCCUUCGGGUUGUAAAGCACUUUCAGCGGGGAGGCGUUACCCGCAGAAGAAGCACCGGCUAACUCCGUGCCAGCAGCCGGGGUAAUAC